rnacentral:rRNA from 1 species
UACAGAGGGUGCGAGCGUUUAAUCGGAAUUACUGGGCGUAAAGCGCGCGUAGGCGGCUUCGCAAGUCGAGUGUGAAAUCCCCGGGCUCAACCUGGGAACUGCAUUCGAGACUGCGUUGCUAGAGUAUGGGAGAGGGAGGUGGAAUUUCAGGUGUAGCGGUGAAAUGCGUAGAUAUCUGAAGGAACAUCAGUGGCGAAAGCGACCUCCUGGACCAAUACUGACGCUCAUGUGCGAAAGCGUGGGGAGCAAACAGG